UACGGAGGGUGCAAGCGUUAUCCGGAUUCACUGGGUUUAAAGGGUGCGUAGGUGGGCAAGUAAGUCAGUGGUGAAAUCUCCGGGCUUAACCCGGAAACUGCCAUUGAUACUAUUUGUCUUGAAUACUGUGGAGGUCAGCGGAAUAUGUCAUGUAGCGGUGAAAUGCUUAGAUAUGACAUAGAACACCGAUUGCGAAGGCAGCUAGCUAGACCGACAUUGACGCUGAGGCACGAAAGCGUGGGGAUCAAACAGG
rnacentral:rRNA from 1 species